rnacentral:rRNA from 1 species
CCGCCUGGGGAGUACGGCCGCAAGGCUGGAACUCAAAGGAAUUGACGGGGACCCGCACAAGCGGUGGAUGAUGUGGUUUAAUUCGAUGCAACGCGAAAAACCUUACCUACCCUUGACAUGUCUGGAAUCCUGAAGAGAUUUGGGAGUGCUCGAAAGAGAGCCAGAACACAGGUGCUGCAUGGCCGUCGUCAGCUCGUGUCGUGAGAUGUUGGGUUAAGUCCCGCAACGAGCGCAACCCUUGUCAUUAGUUGCUACGAAAGGGCACUCUAAUGAGACUGCCGGUGACAAACCGGAGGAAGGUGGGGAUGACGUCAGGUCAUCAUGGCCCUUAUGGGUAGGGCUA